ensembl:lncRNA
AGAAAGUGCAUUUUCUGAAGAAACUGCAGUGUGAAUGCUUGAAUCUGAAUGUAUGCAUUGAAAUGAAAUAAUUACUGAAUUUAAGUUAAAAAUUUUGAAUGAGAUUAAAAAAAAAACCCGAAUUUAACCUGAAAACAAAGGUGCUGAACUGCUAAAAGCUGAAGGUUACACAGAAGAAGGAGUUGGAAAAAAACUGAAAAUGUUUUAAAUGUAAAUUAGAAAACCCUAAGAAAUGAGAAAAGAACAUUUAGAGUCAGAAAACAUCUGAAUGAAUAUUAAAAGGUCAUAUUCUUUGAAUCACCGAAUGACUAAAAUGUGAUCCCUCCGCUUGGAUCCACACAGUUUAAAAAAUGUAAAAGUCUGAGCUUUGAAAGACAAUGUUGGAAAGAGAACAACGAUGGUGACAUUUUGAGGGUAAAAUGAUGGCUGUAACACUGUGGACACAGCAGCAGUUGAAAGAGAAGUGUUUAAGAUGAAUCUUGGCAGAGUGAGAGAGAGAGCUCGUUAAGCAGGCAGGUGUGAGCCUGGUUGCUAUAGUGACCGCACCCAAUGGCUCCAUACACACGUACACAGACAUGCGCCUCACUUUUGCUGCUUAAAAUGAACAGAAACGUCAGCCCUAAACAAAUCGCUCCCAAAUGAAAAGUAUAGGUCGUAUUGACAAAAUUCUUUCACCGUGAGCGGCAGCAAUGUCCAGUCUACCAAAUUCUCAGUUUUCAUGCCUGUGGAGUUUAUUAUAUGGACGUGGUGACAGUGUAAAGACACCAUGCUCUUCUGAUUUUCAAACGAACCUUCUGAGCCAUUUUAACAUUAGAGUCUAUGGAAGAGUUGGAGGGAGGAGGCUGUGCAUUGGUGACAUUUAUGAAAGAACCAUAACACCUAGUACAAUAGUAAACACAUUGGAUGAAAGAGGACAGCGAUGGCUACGUUUUGAGGGUAAAAUCAUACCUGUAGAGCAAACGCUGCGGACACAGCAGCAGUUUUAAAAAAGAUUUUAAGAUUAAUUUUUUUGCUCCUCUCACUCUAGCAGUUGAGCUGCCUCACUCUAGCCCCAACAUUCCGUCCCAUACACA